GCCCGCCGCACACACCCCUCUCUCCUUGUUACACUUCACCGUCCUCCUGAACGGACUACUGGGAAAGCUACUUUUGUUACGUUAAUCUUCUCUCUUUCCCUGGAUUUUUUUUUGUAUCUGUUUUGACACUUUGUUUCCUCUCUUAAUCCGCCUCUUUUCUUUAAGUGCCAUCUCUCAGCGGUAUCUUCAUCCUCUGUUUUUCCAAAAACACAGCCAAAAGGGAAACAGCCUUAAUAGCAUAAAAUACAACCCCAAAUUGGAGCCAACAUGGAGCAAGUCGGAGCAGUUCAGCAGCCGGGAACACUGCGUUCACAGGGGGCAAAGAUCCCGGCCAAAGACGUUUGCAGCAUGGACGAACAACAAGGGAUCCCCCUCUGCUCUGCCGCUGCUGGAGUGGAUUCGCAAACAGACGCAAACAGGUGCACGGACACACACAGACGAGUCUCCACUCCAGGAAUACCACAGCAGCAGCCCUGGAGCAGCUGCUGUGACCAGGUGGAGGGCUGAAACCCCGCCUCUGGUUGUGGCCGUAGCCAUGGUAACAAAACAGGACCUGACCAAUGGCUGCUGUGCCCCAGGAGGACGACUGGGGGUGAAGCCUGUGUUUGACAUCCAAAGCUGUCCAGAUGAUACAGGCCACCCACGUUCAACCACAUUCCUGCCAAAUGAUGAUAAUGAGAAGCUGUGAGCGACUUGUUGUAUGUUCCUAUUGGCGCCUGAUUUCAGUCCAACAAUUAGCAGGAGCAAAUUUGGCAACACCCAAAGACACACAGGGGCAUUGCAAACCACAGAGUCACCAGUCUUACAAAGUCUUGUUUUCAACUGUUUGUUUCCCACACGGACCAACUGUGUUUUAAGGAUUUGCAUUGUGUAAAGACUACUAGUAAAAUAUGCUGUAAUAUGGAAAGUUUUUUCGAAAAAAAGUAGAAUGGAGCAAGAAAAAUUAAACACAAGACUUUUAUGUGUCACGGACCACUGGGAAACCGGCAACUUAUAGAUCAACUGUCUGGUUGGUCUGGGUGAGAAUGAAACGGAAAGAGACGCAGUGAAAAAAACUAAAUAAAAAAAACAGAAUGAUGUUUGU